rnacentral:tRNA from 1 species
UACAGGUGUGAUGGAAUUGGUAGACAUGUUUGAUUUAGGCUCAAUUGACUUUUAGUCGUGCGGGUUCAACCCCUGCCACCUGUAU